UACGUAGGGUGCGAGCGUUAAUCGGAAUUACUGGGCGUAAAGCGUGCGCAGGCGGUUUUGUAAGCCAGAUGUGAAAGCCCCGGGCUCAACCUGGGAAUGGCGAUGGAUACUGGCGAGCUAGAGUACGGUAGAGGAGAGUGGAAUUCCCGGUGUAGCAGUGAAAUGCGUAGAGAUCGGGAGGAACAUCAGUUGCGAAGGCGGCUCUCUGGACCAGUACUGACGCUGAGGCACGAAAGCGUGGGGAGCAAACAGG
rnacentral:rRNA from 1 species